rnacentral:rRNA from 1 species
ACUGCGAGUGAAGCGGGAAAAGCUCAAAUUUAAAAUCUGGCAGUCUUUGGCUGUCCGAGUUGUAUUCUAGAGAAGCGCUUUCUGUGCCGGACCGUGUACAAGUCUCUUGGAACAGAGCGUCAUAGAGGGUGAGAAUCCCGUCUUUGACACGGACUACCGGUGCUUUGUGAUGCGUUUUCAAAGAGUCGAGUUGUUUGGGAAUGCAGCUCAAAAUGGGUGGUAAAUUCCAUCUAAAGCUAAAUAUUGGCGAGAGACCGAUAGCGAACAAGUACCGUGAGGGAAAGAUGAAAAGCACUUUGGAAAGAGAGUUAAACAGUACGUGAAAUUGCUGAAAGGGAAACGCUUGAAGUCAGUCGCGUCGUUCAGAACUCAGCCUGGCUUUUGCUCGGUGCACUUUCUGAAUGACGGGCCAGCAUCAAUUUUGACUGUCGGAUAAAGGCCAGAGAAAUGUGGCUCCUUUGGGAGUGUUAUAGUCUCUGGUUGCAUACGAUGGUUGGGAUUGAGGAACUCAGCAUGCCUUUAUGGUCGGGGUUCGCCCACGUUCAUGCUUAGGAUGCUGGCGUAAUGGCUUUAAACGACCCGUCUUGAAACACGGACCAAGGAGUCUAACAUGCCUGCGAGUGUUUGGGUGGAAAACCCGAGCGCGCAAUGAAAGUGAAAGUUGGGAUCCCUGUCGUGGGGAGCACUGACGCCCGGACCAGACCUUCUGUGACGGAUCCGCGGUAGAGCAUGUAUGUUGGGACCCGAAAGAUGGUGAACUAUGCCUGAAUAGGGUGAAGCCAGAGGAAACUCUGGUGGAGGCUCGUAGCGAUUCUGACGUGCAAAUCGAUCGUCAAAUUUGGGUAUAGGGGCGAAAGACUAAUCGAAC